rnacentral:rRNA from 1 species
GUACACUCCUACGGGAGGCAGCAGUGGGGAAUAUUGCACAAUGGGCGCAAGCCUGAUGCAGCCAUGCCGCGUGUAUGAAGAAGGCCUUCGGGUUGUAAAGUACUUUCAGCGGGGAGGAAGGCGAUAAGGUUAAUAACCUUGUUGAUUGACGUUACCCGCAGAAGAAGCACCGGCUAACUCCGUGCCAGCAGCCGCGGUAAUACGGAGGGUGCAAGCGUUAAUCGGAAUUACUGGGCGUAAAGCGCACGCAGGCGGUCUGUCAAGUCGGAUGUGAAAUCCCCGGGCUCAACCUGGGAACUGCAUUCGAAACUGGCAGGCUAGAGUCUUGUAGAGGGGGGUAGAAUUCCAGGUGUAGCGGUGAAAUGCGUAGAGAUCUGGAGGAAUACCGGUGGCGAAGGCGGCCCCCUGGACAAAGACUGACGCUCAGGUGCGAAAGCGUGGGGAGCAAACAGGAUUAGAUACCCCGGUAGUCCCA